UGGAGGGCAAGUCUGGUGCCAGCAGCCGCGGUAAUUCCAGCUCCAAUAGCGUAUAUUAAAGUUGUUGCAGUUAAAAAGCUCGUAGUUGAAUUUCGGGAUCAAUAUGUUGGUCGUGCCUUGGUACGUACUGGCGUCAUUGGUUUCUACCUUCUGAAGAACCUCGAUGUCAUUAAUUUGGUGUCUUGGGAAAUCAGGACUGUUACUUUGAAAAAAUUAGAGUGUUUAAAGCAGGCUCACGCUUGAAUACAUUAGCAUGGAAUAAUGAAAUAGGACGUUUGAUUCUAUUUUGUUGGUUUCUAGGAUCGACGUAAUGAUUAAUAGGGAUAGUUGGGGGCAUUAGUAUUCAAUUGUCAGAGGUGAAAUUCUUGGAUUUAUUGAAGACUAACUACUGCGAAAGCAUUUGCCAAGGAUGUUUUCAUUAAUCAAGAACGAAAGUUAGGGGAUCGAAGACGAUCAGAUACCGUCGUAGUCUUAACCAUAAACUAUGCCGACUAGGGAUCGGAUGAUGUUAAUUUUUUAAUGACUCAUUCGGCGCCUUACGGGAAAC
rnacentral:rRNA from 1 species